rnacentral:rRNA from 1 species
GUUUUCUAAACUCCCAACCCAUGUGAACUUACCUUUUGUUGCCUCGGCAGAAGUUAUAGGUCUUCUUAUAGCUGCUGCCGGUGGACCAUUAAACUCUUGUUAUUUUAUGUAAUCUGAGCGUCUUAUUUUAAUAAGUCAAAACUUUCAACAACGGAUCUCUUGGUUCUGGCAUCGAUGAAGAACGCAGCGAAAUGCGAUAAGUAAUGUGAAUUGCAGAAUUCAGUGAAUCAUCGAAUCUUUGAACGCACAUUGCGCCCAUUAGUAUUCUAGUGGGCAUGCCUGUUCGAGCGUCAUUUCAACCCUUAAGCCUAGCUUAGUGUUGGGAAUCUACUUCUCUUAGGAGUUGUAGUUCCUGAAAUACAACGGCGGAUUUGUAGUAUCCUCUGAGCGUAGUAAUUUUUUUCUCGCUUUUGUUAGGUGCUAUAACUCCCAGCCGCUAAACCCCCAAUUUUUUGUGGUUGACCUCGGAUCAGGUAGGAAUACCCGCUGAACUUAAGCAUAUCAAUAAGCGGAG